GCCUGCCUACUCCUGACUGCUGCAUCUCCCUCUGGCAGGUACUACAUGGACAGCAGUUUUUGAUGAGCCAGUGAACCCGCUGUCUGCAGCCUCAGGAGCUGCGAGGGAUGUGGGUUCUAGUGCAUGGGCGGCUGGUCCUUCAGUUGCAGAGGAGAAAGGCUGGGCCAAAUUCACCGACUUCCAGCCUUUCUGCUGCUCUGAGACAGGGCCCCGGUGCAGCUCUCCUGUGGACAUGGACCACAGCAAUGCCGAGGGUGGCCAGAGUCCAGGCCCAGAGAAAGCCUUUGGUCCUACCUCGCCUUGUGCCUGGAACGUGUGUGUCACUAGGAAGGCCCCACUGGUAGCCUCUGACAGCAGCUCCUCUGGGGGAUCUGACAGUGAAGAUGACGAGAAG
rnacentral:lncRNA from 1 species